AACGAACGCUGGCGGCAGGCCUAACACAUGCAAGUCGAACGCUCCGCGAGGGGAGUGGCAGACGGGUGAGUAACACGUGGGAAUCUUCCUAUCGGUACGGAAUAGCUCAGGGAAACUUGGGGUAAUACCGCAUACGCCCUUCGGGGGAAAGAUUUAUCGCCGAUAGAUGAGCCCGCGUCUGAUUAGCUAGUUGGUGAGGUAAUGGCUCACCAAGGCGACGAUCAGUAGCUGGUUUGAGAGAAUGACCAGCCACACUGGAACUGCGACACGGUCCAGACUCCUACGGGAGGCAGCAGUUUGGAAUUUUGGACAAUGGGCGAAAGCCUGAUCCAGCGACGCCGCGUGGACGAUGAAGGCCUUCGGGUUGUAAAGUCCUUUUGCUCGGGAACAAUAUUUUGAGCGUACCGAGAGAAUAAGAGGUUGCUAACUCUGUGCCAGCCGCCGCCGUAA
rnacentral:rRNA from 1 species